ACAGCCAUUCUUAUCUGACCACAGCUUUGACCCCUCCUCAAAACUUCAGACUCUGAUUCCAGAGCUCUCUUAAAGAUUACUGAAGCAGUGGACCCCAAGGAAUUGGAAUUUCCCCGGAGUCUCAUGCUGGGAAAAGAGGCCAAAAGCCUACUGUCGGCCAGAUGAGGAGCUUGUCUCCCAGGAGGAUUUCACACAGUGCUGACAACUUGUUAGACCAUCUUGCAGGAGAGACUGGAGCCCAGACAGUGAUAGGUCAGUGAUGGACGGGACCACAUCUUGGCCAACACCACUUAGUUAUGCAUGUUUCUUGCCCUCUGUUUAAACAUAAACCUCUCAUCAGGACCCUAAAGAUGGACUUGGGGGGCAGUGUUACUGGGUCUCAUUGUUCUUUCCAAUGUGGUUGCAAUGAAUAAACCUUCUUUUUCUGUUUUCA